rnacentral:tRNA from 1 species
CGGGGAUUAGGGAAGUAGGCCAUCCCGUCUCAUUCGGUAUGAGAAGAUCGUCGAUUCGAAUUCGGCAUCCCCGACCA